rnacentral:rRNA from 1 species
UGGGGAAUAUUGCACAAUGGGGGGAACCCUGAUGCAGCCAUGCCGCGUGAAUGAAGAAGGCCUUCGGGUUGUAAAGUUCUUUCGGUGACGAGGAAGGUUGAUAGGUUAAUAGCCUAUCAAAUUGACGUUAAUCACAGAAGAAGCACCGGCUAACUCCGUGCCAGCAGCCGCGGUAAUACGGGGGGUGCGAGCGUUAAUCGGAAUAACUGGGCGUAAAGGGCACGCAGGCGGUGACUUAAGUGAGAUGUGAAAGCCCCGGGCUUAACCUGGGAAUUGCAUUUCAUACUGGGUCGCUAGAGUACUUUAGGGAGGGGUAGAAUUCCACGUGUAGCGGUGAAAUGCGUAGAGAUGUGGAGGAAUACCGAAGGCGAAGGCAGCCCCUUGGGAAUGUACUGACGCUCAUGUGCGAAAGCGUGGGGAGCAAACAGGAUUAGAUACCCUGGUA